rnacentral:lncRNA from 1 species
GCAGAGUUGCCUGAUAAGUGAAACAUGAAAUAAAGCCUGGAAUUACUGCAAAAUCUUAAGGAGAAAGCAGAACCACGAUGUGGAGAGGAGGAGAGCUUCCCUGGAGCUGCCCUUCCUGAAGCCGUUUUGUCUUCAGGAUACUGAGCACAAGCCCCUUGCUGCUCACUUGGCUCACGGGAGCGCCAGUCGUGGAGCUGCCCCUUGUUUCCCCCAGCGCACGAGCAAGUCUAAUGGAGCACCCGCAGCACACCUGCUCAGCUGUCUGAGAUGCUUCCGAAUUUUGCUUUUUGCGGAGGGAGCUGAGAGCUUGCCUCCUUCCGUAAGUCUGGGCACAGGGAAGGCGAGAGAAAUAUGGGCUGAACUUACUGUCGGCUCUCUUAAAAGCUUUCUAUUGUAGAUAAAAUGUGUGAUAAUGGUACCCAGAACUAUCAUUAUGGUUAAUUAAAG